rnacentral:rRNA from 1 species
GCUUGUCUCAAAGAUUAAGCCAUGCAUGUCUCAGUAUAAGUUCCUGUACGGCGAAACUGCGAAUGGCUCAUUAAAACAGUUACAGUUUAUUUGAUGGUCGUUCCUUACAUGGAUAACUGUGGUAAUUCUAGAGCUAAUACAUGCGCAAAUUCCCGACUGUCGCAAGGCGGAAAGGAUGUAUUUAUUAGAUCCAACCAGCCCGGUUCGCCGGAGUCCCUGGUGAGUCAUAAUAACUGAGCGAAUCGCAUGGCCUUGUGCCGGCGAUGGUUCAUUCAAGUUUCUGCCCUAUCAGCUUUCGAUGGUAGGGUAUUGGCCUACCAUGGCGUUAACGGGUAACGGAGAAUUAGGGUUCGAUUCCGGAGAGGGAGCCUGAGAAACGGCUACCACAUCCAAGGAAGGCAGCAGG